rnacentral:lncRNA from 1 species
GCCCCGCGAACACAUACACACACCGCACGGCCGGCUCCGCUUUGCCUGGCCGUGCGGGGCGGGGCUGUGCGGACGGUGGCUCGGGCGGUCAAUCCUGGGGGCGGGGCCAGAGCUGCGCGGUAGGCGGGGCGGUGCGUGCGUGCGUGGGCGGCGCGCGGCGCGCGGGCCGUCCUCUCGCACACGCGGCCUUGGAGGCGGGUGUCUGACCCUUCGUCUACCGCUUGCUGAGACCCCUUCCCCCUCGGGUCACAGGCGCCUUUGCGCUCCGGUACUUAGCCUUCUCUCGGUGCCCCGGCGACAGAAAGAUGACACAGAGACAUAGAGAGGGAAAGGCCCUGAGACAUGGAGAAGUCGAGACCCAGUUACCACCAAGAAGUGAAGUCCCAGACACAUGUACCUGGUGAACCCAUCCCGGCUGAGGGACCAGUCAUUGAGGGAAGAAGCCACCUAGUUUGUCCCAGCCAUCUGAGCUGUUCCUCAUUACUUGGAACAGAGGUGGUUUUUGCUGCAGUGUCUUACAGGGGCUGUGUAGAAUGAGGUGGGGAUGGAAGACAUGGCCCUACCCUCUGGCAAGAACCCAGUCAGAUGGAGG